AACGCUAGCUACAGGCUUAACACAUGCAAGUCGAGGGGCAGCAUGAUUGAAGCUUGCUUCAAUUGAUGGCGACCGGCGCACGGGUGAGUAACACGUAUCCAACCUUCCGUACACUCAGGGAUAGCCUUUCGAAAGAAAGAUUAAUACCUGAUGGUAUCUUAAGCACACAUGUAAUUAAGAUUAAAGAUUUAUCGGUGUACGAUGGGGAUGCGUUCCAUUAGGUAGUAGGCGGGGUAACGGCCCACCUAGCCUACGAUGGAUAGGGGUUCUGAGAGGAAGGUCCCCCACAUUGGAACUGAGACACGGUCCAAACUCCUACGGGAGGCAGCAGUGAGGAAUAUUGGUCAAUGGGCGCGAGCCUGAACCAGCCAAGUAGCGUGAAGGAUGAAGGUCCUACGGAUUGUAAACUUCUUUUAUAAGGGAAUAAAGUCACCUACGUGUAGGUGUUUGUAUGUACCUUAUGAAUAAGCAUCGGCUAACUCCGUGCCAGCAGCCGCGGUAAUACGGAGGAUGCGAGCGUUAUCCGGAUUUAUUGGGUUUAAAGGGAGCGUGGACGGGUCGUUAAGUCAGCUGUGAAAGUUUGAGGCUCAACCUUAAAAUUGCAGUUGAUACUGGCGUCCUUGAGUACGGUUGAGGCAGGCGGAAUUCGUGGUGUAGCGGUGAAAUGCUUAGAUAUCACGAAGAACUCCGAUUG
rnacentral:rRNA from 1 species